rnacentral:rRNA from 1 species
AGCGAACGCUGGCGGCAGGCCUAACACAUGCAAGUCGAACGGAUCCUUCGGGAUUAGUGGCGGACGGGUGAGUAACACGUGGGAACGUGCCUUUUGGUUCGGAACAACUCAGGGAAACUUGAGCUAAUACCGGAUGUGCCCUUCGGGGGAAAGAUUUAUCGCCAUUAGAGCGGCCCGCGUCUGAUUAGCUUGUUGGUGAGGUAAAGGCUCACCAAGGCUACGAUCAGUGGCUGGUCUGAGAGGAUGAUCAGCCACACUGGGACUGAGACACGCCCCAGACUCCUACGGGAGGCAGCAGUGGGGAAUCUUGCGCAAUGGGCGAAAGCCUGACGCAGCCAUGCCGCGUGAAUGAUGAAGGUCUUAGGAUUGUAAAAUUCAUUCACCGGGGACGAUAAUGACGGUACCCGGAGAAGAAGCUCCGGCUAACUUCGUGCCAGCAGCCGCAGUAAGAC